GACCAAAUCCUACCAGUAACUUCCCUUUGAAAUAAAACUGAGCGCCUGAAUUUUAGUAGUGGAUGCGAAUACCAAAACGCCUAUGCCGACUUACUCUCUUCACCAUUGGGGGAUCUGUGUCAUUCCCUGAGAACUCCCAUCUAGCAAGCGUGCAGUCCCAGGAGGAACUGACGAGCAUAGGGUAAUAAGGAUGCCAACUGCAGUCCCUUACGGUCGAGCUAUGGAUGGCUAGUUUUGCAACUUGGGCUCCAGUUACCACGUCAUAGAUAUAAAC
rnacentral:misc_RNA from 1 species